CCUACGGGUGGCUGCAGUGAGGAAUAUUGGUCAAUGGGCGCUAGCCUGAACCAGCCAAGUAGCGUGAAGGAUGACUGCCCUAUGGGUUGUAAGCUUCUUUUAUAGGGGAAUAAAGUGCAGUAUGUAUACUGCUUUGCAUGUACCUUAUGAAUAAGGAUCGGCUAACUCCGUGCCAGCAGCCGCGGUAAUCCGGAGGAUCCGAGCGUUAUCCGGAUUUAUUGGGUUGAAAGGGACCGUAGGCGGGUUGUUAAGUCAGUUGUGAAAGUUUGCGGCUCAACCGUAAAAUUGCAGUGGAUACUGGCAGCCUGGAGUGCAGGAGAGGUAGGCGGAAUUCGUGGUGUAGCGGUGAAAUGCUUAGAUAUCACGAAGAACUCCGAUUGCGAAGGCAGCCUGCUGGACUGUAACUGACGCUGAUGCUCGAAAGUGUGGGUAUCAAACAGGAUUAGAUACCCUUGUAGUC
rnacentral:rRNA from 1 species